UCACCUUGGGCAUGUUCUUGACAGCAGUCCAGGCAGAUGGUCCCAGCGAUUUCUACACCAGCGGAAAGCUCUGGUUCUUAGGAAAGUCUUACAGCAAACCUCCUGGGAAUGUCACUGUGGUUUAUGGUUUUGCCUUUGAGGGCUGCUGCACCGGGGGCCAGGCUUUCUCCCUGCCCCACAGAUGCUGGAAGGCAGCUACCCGGAACCUACUGAUGCUUCUCCAGGCUUCUCCCCACCCCCACCCAUUGUCAUGGCUUUACACGUGCCAGACACCAUUCCAGGAACUGGGAUACAGCCCCGAGUCUGACUGGCAAGGCUCCCCUGGCCCUCACGCUUCGGUGGGGGCAGACCAACAAACUGUCCAGAAGGAUGGGAGGACGGCAGCCCGACGAGAGGGGAGUACCCAGAUGUGGAGACUGAGCCAGGUGUGUCCGUGGAGGUGAGGCAGAAGCAGGAGCCUGACCUGGGGGGAGAGAGCCAGAGGUCCACCGCUUUGUCAGCUAUGCAACACAGUCUGAGGCUCUCCCAGCUCAGUCGUGCUCCCCCCCUUCAUCUUUCAUAGGCCCUACCACACUCCCGCUCCUCCAGGCAAUAAAUGUCUUGCACUCCUAAG